UCCAAACCAUUAACCAAACAAGGGAGAUUGGCAACGUAAAUCCCUCAGCCCUCGUUUUUGAUCGAGAGGGCGAGUGUACUAUUCUGUUCACUCCGGGGGCUGAAACGCCCAGUAAUUCAAUUUGCAAUGAUUGUACAUCCGCUAAGAAAUGUCAGCCAAAACUUAAUACCAACAUCAAGGAAUCAACAUACAAGUGACAAUAGUUCAGAGGAUGGUGCUGGAGGGAAAGCUCACAGGUCCCUCCACCUCAGCAGCAACAGAGGUAGAGCAGCCCCCCCUGGCCCUCCAACCCAGGCCCCAGGGAGAUCCCAGCAAACCCUCCCCAUCUACCCCAGUGCAGCACGACAAAGCAUCAGAUGAUGCAGCCAGCCCCAGCACCUCAACCGGAGCCCACAUAAUGUACACCAUUACGGUUAGUGAGAGUGAAAAGGAUGAAGCCAGGUUCACAUGCCAGGAAACCCAAACAGAGAGGCUCAUAGGUGUCCUCGACAAAAUGGCAUAUAAAAUGUAAUGCAAAAUGUAAUGUAAAGUGUUGGUCCCAUGUUUCAUGAGCUGAAAUAAAA